CUGUUCUGUAAAUGUUUCUUGUAUUUUGCAAAAAGUGAAGAAAUUUAAAUGAUAGAGCUUCUACCCAAGGGCAAGAUAGUAAGGGUACACAGUUGAAUAUCUCAUGAUUUUUGCUUUCAAGUGCCUCACAGUCUUGAUGCAGAAGAUAUGCGUGCAUAACCAACUAAACAUACUCAACACGGUGCAGCAUAACAGAGGCACGGACAUGGGAACAUGGGAACCAGCACAAAGAACCAUUCAUGCUCCCUCGGAAAUCCGGAAAGAUUUCUCUGAUGUAAUAAUAUUUGAUCCAUGACUUGAUGAAUGAUAAAGGAUUUGAAGACAUGGAGAAGGAGAAGGAAGGGCAUUUCAACCACAGAAGAAAGCUUAAACCAAAACUCAGACUAUGGCAAUGCUUGACAUUCAAGGAUAGCCUUAUAAUCCUUCAAACUUACCUACCUUUAUUAAGAAACAGAUUUCAUUAGGAUACCUUCCAUGCUUGGUCCUGCAUAAAUGCUACCUCAUUGAAUCCUCAUACUUAGUACAAAAAUUAGAUAUGAUUAUUCCCUUUUGAAAUGAUGCAAUUGAGAAUCUGACAAGAUCACCCAGUUGAGUAACGCUGGAGCCAAACUCGAACAAAAGUCUGUGUGACUGAUUUCCUUUUGUAUUUAUUUUGAGAGUGAGAGGAAUUACUUUCUUUUUAAGAAAAUUAAUUUUAUUUUAUGUUCUGGGAUACAUGUGCAGGACAUGCAGGUUUGUUACAUAGAUAAACGUGUGCCAUGGUGGUUUGCUGUAUCUAUCAACCCAUUACCUAGGUGAGAGGAAUUACUUUUUAAUAUGUACUAAUUGACAGAAUGUUUUCUUCAAAAUUUAGAUCCAAAAAUUAUUAAAGUGGCAUAUGUUACCAUGUGAGAGGGAAAAAUGAGGGGAAUAUGGAAAUGUGUAUAUACUUCUAAAAGUUAACAAUCUCCCACACUAAUCCGAUUAUUCCCAAACCAGCCAUAUCAGCAACCAAUAUUGUUGCUGUUGUCCCUGACUGUUCAAACAUAUCCAAACAUAUUCACAUGUAGAGUGGGGUUUGGGUGAGUGCUUUACUCUGCAGCUUGACUGUCACUGAAUAAUUUCUCAUGGCAUUUAGUUUAGGUAAACAGAUAGAAAUCUUUAAAAAGCUAUUCAAUAUCUCAUUAUUUCCCUAUUGAUAGACUUUCAUAUCAUUUCUAUUUUUUCAGCUUUUCAAAGGAUUCUGCAAUAAACAAGCUUAUAUGUAUAAGCACAUGCACUAAUAUUUAUAUAUAAAUAUUUUUAUUUAAUGUUUUUAUAAAAGGUUUUCAAAAAUUGAAUUGCAAGAUCAAAGGGCAUUUUAAAAAAUGCUAAUGGACAUUGUGAAAAAGCCUUCAAAAUGUAGCCACUCCCUUAUUGGCCCAAAUGGACACUUUAUGGACUCACAGCAUAUAAGUAAUUUUCUAAACUUAUAACUGAUGUACAAAAACUGCAUGCAUUUAAAGUAUACACUUAAAGAAUUUAAACAUAUGCAUAUACUCCCAAAACCACACAAUUUAAAUACUGAACAAUCUUGGAGCUCACAAAUAAGUGGGAGAUACAAAAAAUCAUCAGAUAAUCCUACAUAAACCUAUAAUUACAUUUUGAGAGACUUGCUUGGGAAGGAAGGAAGAUGGUUCUCUUGGAAGCUGUCACAGAUGUGUAUCAACUGGGUGAAGGAAGGUUCCUAAGGAAGGGAGACAUGUGCUGAGAUCUCAAAAGAGAAAUAAUAAAGUGGUUGAAUAGGACAAAAUUCAUAAGGCAAUGAAGGAGAAGAGGCAUUUAUAGUUGAGUGAAUGGCAUUUGCAAAAGCCCUGUGCUAGGUAUACUGUUCUCUAGCCAUGAAGAAACGUCAAGGUGGCUGGAAAGCAAAUAAGAAGGAAGAAAGUAAGUCUUACAGGACCUCAUAGGUUAUGGUCAGGAUUUUAUUCUUAAAUCCAAGAACAAUGGAAAGCCACCAAAGGAUUUUGAGCAUUGGAACACAUAUGAUCAUUGUUGCAUUUUAAAAAUAUCAGUUGGCUGUUGUGCAGGCUAGACAGAGGGGUCCAGAGUAAAGCAAGAAGCCAGCCAAAAGCUCUUGAGCAAGGGAGGGUCAAUGCAGACAGAACCAUGUGGAAGGAUUCAAGAGAAUAUUAAGACAUUAGGUUGACAGGACAUGGUGAUUAGUUCUACAUGACGUGUCAGGGAGAGGGAAGUAUCAGGAAUGACUCGUAGGAGUCUGACUAAUGCAAGUGGAUAUGGUUGCAUAUGCAGUGUUGCCACUCAGGUAUAUGGAGAACAUUGGAUACAAAAUUUCCCAAGGCUUUUCUGGGCUCUUAGGAUAAAUACAGGGCCAUGACCAUGACACCUAAUGCAUGGUUUGACCUUGGCUUGUGUCCCUGUGCUCCUGCUGCCACCUGUGCACUGAAACACAGGUGAUGUUUCAGUUCUUUGAAGAAGCCAAGUUCUCCUUAUCCUCAGGAUAUUCAUGCACUUAGUACCUUCCACACAGAAUAUUAUUUGGUUAAGAUGGGUUCUUCCAACCUCAAGUCCCAACUUGGCAUGUCCAUAGAAAUGACCUAAAAUAAACAGGCAAUCUCUUGUCACUGUG
rnacentral:lncRNA from 10 species